AUUGAACGCUGGCGGCAGGCCUAACACAUGCAAGUCGAACGGUAACAGGAAGCAGCUUGCUGCUUCGCUGACGAGUGGCGGACGGGUGAGUAAUGUCUGGGAAGCUGCCUGAUGGAGGGGGAUAACUACUGGAAACGGUAGCUAAUACCGCAUAAUGUCGCAAGACCAAAGAGGGGGACCUUCGGGCCUCUUGCCAUCGGAUGUGCCCAGAUGGGAUUCGCUUGUUGGUGGGGUAACGGCUCACCAAGGCGACGAUCCCUAGCUGGUCUGAGGGGAUGACCAGCCACACGGGAACUGAGACACGGUCCAGACGCCUACGGGAGGCAGCAGUGGGGAAUAUUGCACAAUGGGCGCAAGCCUGAUGCAGCCAGGCCGCGUGUAUGAAGAAGGCCUUCGGGUUGUAAAGUACUUUCAGCGGGGAGGAAGGGAGUAAAGUUAAUACCUUGGCUCAUUGACGUUACCCGCAGAAGAAGCACCGGCUAACUCCGUG
rnacentral:rRNA from 1 species